AACCUGCCCCUGACUCUGGGAUAAGCGCUGGAAACGGCGUCUAAUACUGGAUAUGAACCACAGUCGCAUGGCUCGUGGUUGGAAAGAUUUUUUGGUUGGGGAUGGGCUCGCGGCCUAUCAGCUUGUUGGUGAGGUAAUGGCUCACCAAGGCGUCGACGGGUAGCCGGCCUGAGAGGGUGACCGGCCACACUGGGACUGAGACACGGCCCAGACUCCUACGGGAGGCAGCAGUGGGGAAUAUUGCACAAUGGGCGCAAGCCUGAUGCAGCAACGCCGCGUGAGGGAUGACGGCCUUCGGGUUGUAAACCUCUUUUAGCAAGGAAGAAGCGAAAGUGACGGUACUUGCAGAAAAAGCGCCGGCUAACUACGUGCCAGCAGCCGCGGUAAUACGUAGGGCGCAAGCGUUAUCCGGAAUUAUUGGGCGUAAAGAGCUCGUAGGCGGUUUGUCGCGUCUGCUGUGAAAUCCCGAGGCUCAACCUCGGGUCUGCAGUGGGUACGGGCAGACUAGAGUGCGGUAGGGGAGAUUGGAAUUCCUGGUGUAGCGGUGGAAUGCGCAGAUAUCAGGAGGAACACCGAUGGCGAAGGCAGAUCUCUGGGCCGUAACUGACGCUGAGGAGCGAAAGGGUGGGGGAGCAAACAGGCUUAGAUACCCUGGGUAGUCCACCCCGUAAACGUUGGGAACUAGUUGUGGGGUCCUUUCCACGGAUUCCGUGACGCAGCUAACGCAUUAAGUUCCCCGCCUGGGGAGUACGGCCGCAAGGCUAAAACUCAAAGGAAUUGACGGGGACCCCGCACAAGCGGCGGAGCAUGCCGGAUUAAUUCAUUGCAACGCGAAGAAACUUUACCCAGGCUUGACAUACACGAG
rnacentral:rRNA from 1 species